rnacentral:rRNA from 1 species
GGUCGGGGCUUGCUAUUAGUCGGAGUGCAGCGGACAGAUGGGAGCUUGCUCCCUGAUGUUAGCGGCGGACGGGUGAGUAACACGUGGGUAACCUGCCUGUAAGACUGGGAUAACUCCGGGAAACCGGGGCUAAUACUUUGUUUGUUUGAUCCGCUUGGUUCAAACAUAAAAGGUGGCUCCGGCUACCACUUACAGAUGGACCCGCGACGCAUUAGCUAGUUGGGGAGGUAACGGCUCACCAAGGCAACGAUGCGUAGCCGACCUGAGAGGGGGAUCGGUCACACUGUGACUGAGACACGACCCUGACUCCUACGGGAGGCAGCAGAAGUGAAUCUUCCGCAAUGGACGAGAGUCUGACGGAGCAACGCCGCGUGAGUGAUGAAGGUUUUCGGAUCGUAAAGCUCUGUUGAAGAGAAAAAACCACCUUCGUCCAUCUGGGCUUUUGCCUUCGGGGAACAUAACCAGAUUUUUUAGUCGACCUACGUUCCACCGGCCGGGAAAAGUUUCUACCAGGUUUUUUCUAAUAAAAAUAUGUGACAAGGUUGUGUCGCGCCCCCCCGAAAAUACCUUUAGAAAAACAACCCCCCCCACCUCCUCCACCGACGGAGUAAGUAUAGUGAUUUAUGUGGCCAAAAAGGGCGGGAAACCCCCCCUCACUUUAUAACAAUUCUUUUUGUUCCCCACCCUUUUUAUCCUCCAACGGACGGUUAGCCAGCAGGAGAGGAGGACUUACAACAUCGUGGUGUGCUACAUCUCUACAACAAUUAAACGCUAACACUUGGAGAGUGGCAUUUCCUCUUUUAGGACUCAAGUAACACGAUUACCAAUGACCGUCCCGGGAUGGGGGGGGGGGCUGGAAAAAAAAGAAAAAAACGGUGGCUGGGCCUAUCCCGGCAAAAUAGGUUAACUCUGAAACACCAAAAAAAUACCGGGGGUUGGGACAAUAUAAAACCGGUAUUUUUGAGAGCACCCUCUGGGAGCACCC